GGGGGUAUAGCUCAGUGGUAGAGCAUGUGCUUAAUAAGUACAAAGCUCUGGAUUCCCCCA
rnacentral:tRNA from 1 species